rnacentral:lncRNA from 1 species
GGAAAGUUUAACGGACAAAAAGAAUUGAAAUUUUUUUGUAGAAGAAGAAGAAGAUGGAUGGUAACUAUGGUGAAGGAUCAUGGAGAAGGGAAAUUUCGAGAAGAAACCCUGGUAGAAGCUAGCUGUUUCAAAAGACAUGGAAAGAGAAAAAGCUGAAAGUUGUAUAAUAGUUUGAAAUGAGAAGCAUGCAAAUGGUGAGAGAAAUAGAAAAGAGAGAGAAAAAAGUGUCAGGAAAAGCAGAGGAGAGAGAAUAAAAAUACAAUCACGUAAGCGGAAGUUAACGCCGUUUCUACCUAUUUAAUGGAAGGGAUCGAAUUCUUUCAAAAUUCAUAAUAUGAGAACAAAAUAGCUUCAUUUUUAAAACCGAGUACAAAACAAAAUUUCAACUCCUAACUUGAGAACGAAAUAGUAUUUAAGCCAAUUAUUAAUGCAUUGUAAAAUCAUAUGUCUUGUAU